AGAGAGCAUCUUCUGGCUAUUUCUGCUCUGGAAACUUCUCUCUGUCUUCACAGGUCCGUGCUGGAGAGUGGGAGAAAGGUCCCUGCUGGUUGCCAGGUCCUCAGUGGGCAGAGAGCUCUGACCUUGGCCAGGUGGGCUGGUAAAGAGAUUCCUUCUGUCACACCAGUAUUUGCACCUGAGGAAGGUACCGGGGUUUUUCCAGCUUUUCUG